rnacentral:rRNA from 1 species
UACGAAGGGGGCUAGCGUUGCUCGGAAUCACUGGGCGUAAAGGGUGCGUAGGCGGGUCUUUAAGUCAGGGGUGAAAUCCUGGAGCUCAACUCCAGAACUGCCUUUGAUACUGAGGAUCUUGAGUUCGGGAGAGGUGAGUGGAACUGCGAGUGUAGAGGUGAAAUUCGUAGAUAUUCGCAAGAACACCAGUGGCGAGGGCGGCUCACUGGCCCGAUACUGACGCUGAGGCACGAAAGCGUGGGGAGCAAACAGGG